AGAUGUGAGACCUAACUGGUUGUAACACCUGUUACCCAUUGAUUGCUAAGGUUGAUUCAAUUGAUCUGGCUGGCUAGACAGGUAUUCCCAUCCUCCCUCAUUGCUCCAUGUGUGUCCCUCCUGAAGCUGCAUGCUGGGUCAAAGGGGAGACCUUUCCCACUGGAGGACUGGACUUCUGUCAAGGGUAUAUGGAUAGCUGCAGCUCCCUGCUAGAACUUCCAAACAAACUCUCAAAAUCCUAACUAAGCUCUCUAAUGAAUGAGUAUAUUUUGAAUCACUCUUAACAUAAAAAAUAAAAAUUUAAAAAGCAUAAGUCUGUGACUGUGUGU
rnacentral:snRNA from 1 species